GCUCAAGAAGAUAGCUCAGUGGGUAAAGCAUGAGACUCUUAAUAUCAGGGUCAUGGGUUUGAGCUUCAUGUGGGGCA